rfam:Pterocles gutturalis contig86901, whole genome shotgun sequence.
CAAUCAGCCUUUUUUAAGGCUAUUAAUAAGAUUAAUAACAUAUAGU